CCCUUAGAUGUUCUGAACCGCACGCGUGUUACACUGAUGCAUUCAACGAGCUUUACCUUGGCCGAGAGGCCUGGGAAAUCUUUUUAGCAUGCAUCGUGAUAGGGAUUGAUUAUUGCAAUUAUUAAUCAUGAACGAGGAAUUCCUAGUAAACGCAUUUCAUCAAAAUGCAUUGAUUACGUCCCUGCCCUUUGUACACACCGCCCGUCGCACCUACCGAUUGAGUGGUCCGGUGAAGUCUCGAGAUUGUGGCAAUCUCCUUUAUUGGAGUUUGACCGCGAGAACUUGCCUAAACCUUAUCACUUAGAGGAAGGUGAAGUCGUAACA
rnacentral:rRNA from 1 species